rnacentral:rRNA from 1 species
AUUGAACGCUGGCGGCAGGCCUAACACAUGCAAGUCGAACGGUAACAGAAAGCAGCUUGCUGCUUUGCUGACGAGUGGCGGACGGGUGAGUAAUGUCUGGGAAACUGCCCGAUGGAGGGGGAUAACUACUGGAAACGGUAGCUAAUACCGCAUAACGUCGCAAGACCAAAGAGGGGGACCUUCGGGCCUCUUGCCAUCGGAUGUGCCCAGAUGGGAUUAGCUAGUAGGUGGGGUAACGGCUCACCUAGGCGACGAUCCCUAGCUGGUCUGAGAGGAUGACCAGCCACACUGGAACUGAGACACGGUCCAGACUCCUACGGGAGGCAGCAGUGGGGAAUAUUGCACAAUGGGCGCAAGCCUGAUGCAGCCAUGCCGCGUGUAUGAAGAAGGCCUUCGGGUUGUAAAGUACUUUCAGCGGGGAGGAAGGGAGUAAAGUUAAUACCU